rnacentral:lncRNA from 1 species
UAAGAACAGCCGAAUAACUCACCUUAUAUAUCUUGCUAUCCACACCAAGAAAAUGAUUCGGGUUAAAUGGUUCGACAGAAAUGAUGCUAUCUAACCAACCGGCUUAACCCCCUUUCCGUUAAUUUCUUAACAAAAAUAAAAAAAAAGUUCAUUACAGGAGACAUGCAAGAAGGAGAGCAAGUUGGCACACUAAUUGGAAACCAGCUGGAGAUUCUCACACUCAAAACAUAUCUUAGCCCCUAUUAGCACUACUUCAACAGCAUCUGAAGAGAGCUACCAGUACAGGAACAAGCAGCAGCAUAGGACGGGCCAGCACUCAGGCUCCCUUAAGCAACAGCGUCCACUAUCAUCAGGCUAUGCUUGAUUGUCAGCAGAAGAUCUACCUGCCUCACAAUGCAUCAACACAGGGCUUCGUUCUGCAUCAGCUUGGAACCACCAUCCUUCAAAGCAGCUUUGUCCUCCUCUCUCUGCAAACCUGCACAGUACAAAAUCAACAAGCACAUGACAGAGAUGAUUUAGGCAAAUUGUUCGAUCAAGGAUCAGAGCACUUAACACACAUGAUUUAGGUCAAAUGGUCUACCUUUAAAUGGCAACCACAAGAAAAACGAAAUUGCUUCAGCCAAGGAUCAAAGCAGAACAGGAAACGAAUGACAAUACCUGAUUAAGAUGGGGAGCUCCUCCAUUCAUCAUCAGAUUCUGGGGUAACAAGCCUCAUGAGCGCCCGUUGCGUUGCU